rnacentral:rRNA from 1 species
CUUAACACAUGCAAGUCGAACGGAAAGGCCCUGCUUUUGUGGGGUGCUCGAGUGGCGAACGGGUGAGUAACACGUGAGUAACCUGCCCUUGACUUUGGGAUAACUUCAGGAAACUGGGGCUAAUACCGGAUAGGAGCUCCUGCUGCAUGGUGGGGGUUGGAAAGUUUCGGCGGUUGGGGAUGGACUCGCGGCUUAUCAGCUUGUUGGUGGGGUAGUGGCUUACCAAGGCUUUGACGGGUAGCCGGCCUGAGAGGGUGACCGGCCACAUUGGGACUGAGAUACGGCCCAGACUCCUACGGGAGGCAGCAGUGGGGAAUAUUGCACAAUGGGCGGAAGCCUGAUGCAGCAACGCCGCGUGCGGGAUGACGGCCUUCGGGUUGUAAACCGCUUUCGCCUGUGACGAAGCGUGAGUGACGGUAAUGGGUAAAGAAGCACCGGCUAACUACGUGCCAGCAGCCGCGGUGAUACGUAGGGUGCGAGCGUUGUCCGGAUUUAUUGGGCGUAAAGGGCUCGUAGGUGGUUGAUCGCGUCGGAAGUGUAAUCUUGGGGCUUAACCCUGAGCGUGCUUUCGAUACGGGUUGACUUGAGGAAGGUAGGGGAGAAUGGAAUUCCUGGUGGAGCGGUGGAAUGCGCAGAUAUCAGGAGGAACACCCAGUGGCGAAGGCGGUUCUCUGGGCCUUUCCUGACGCUGAGGAGCGAAAGCGUGGGGAGCGAACAGGCUUAGAUACCCUGGUAGUCCACGCUGUAAACGGUGGGUACUAGGUGUGGGGUCCAUUCCACGGGUUCCGUGCCGUAGCUAACGCUUUAAGUACCCCGCCUGGGGAGUACGGCCGCAAGGCUAAAACUCAAAGGAAUUGACGGGGCCCCGCACAAGCGGCGGAGCAUGCGGAUUAAUUCGAUGCAACGCGUAGAACCUUACCUGGGUUUGACAUGGAUCGGGAGCGCUCAGAGAUGGGUGUGCCUCUUUUGGGGUCGGUUCACAGGUGGUGCAUGGCUGUCGUCAGCUCGUGUCGUGAGAUGUUGGGUUAAGUCCCGCAACGAGCGCAACCCUUGUUCACUGUUGCCAGCACGUUAUGGUGGGGACUCAGUGGAGACCGCCGGGGUCAACUCGGAGGAAGGUGGGGAUGACGUCAAGUCAUCAUGCCCCUUAUGUCCAGGGCUUCACGCAUGCUACAAUGGCUGGUACAGAGAGUGGCGAGCCUGUGAGGGUGAGCGAAUCUCGGAAAGCCGGUCUCAGUUCGGAUUGGGGUCUGCAACUCGACCUCAUGAAGUCGGAGUCGCUAGUAAUCGCAGAUCAGCAACGCUGCGGUGAAUACGUUCCCGGGGCUUGUACACACCGCCCGUCAAGUCAUGAAAGUUGGUAACACCCGAAGCCGGUGGCCUAACCGUUGUGGGGGAGCCGUCGAAGGUGGGACUGGUGAUUAGGACUAAGA